CGGGGCGUAGCGCAGCCUGGUAGCGCACUUGCAUGGGGUGCAAGGGGCCGCUGGUUCAAGUCCAGUCGCCCCGACCA
rnacentral:tRNA from 2 species